rnacentral:rRNA from 1 species
UCCAUCGGUAGCUUGCUAUCAAUGGUGAGAGUGGCGCACGGGUGCGUAACGCGUGAGCAACCUGCCUCCAUCAGGGGGAUAGCCUCUCGAAAGAGAGAUUAACACCGCAUAACAUAUUUUACCGGCAUCGGACGAAUAUUAAAUAUUUAUAGGAUGGAGAUGGGCUCGCGUGACAUUAGCUUGUUGGUGGGGUAACGGCCCACCAAGGCGACGAUGUCUAGGGGCUCUGAGAGGAGAAUCCCCCACACUGGUACUGAGACACGGACCAGACUCCUACGGGAGGCAGCAGUAAGGAAUAUUGGUCAAUGGGCGGAAGCCUGAACCAGCCAUGCCGCGUGCAGGAUGACUGCCCUAUGGGUUGUAAACUGCUUUUGUCCGGGAAUAAACCUCCUUACGAGUAGGGAGCUGAAUGUACCGGAAGAAUAAGGAUCGGCUAACUCCGUGCCAGCAGCCGCGGUAAUACGGAGGAUCCGAGCGUUAUCCGGAUUUAUUGGGUUUAAAGGGUGCGUAGGCGGCCUGUUAAGUCAGGGGUGA